ACGAAGGGUGCAAGCGUUAAUCGGAAUUACUGGGCGUAAAGCGUGCGUAGGCGGUUACGUGUGUCAGAUGUGAAAGCCCUGGGCUCAACCUGGGAAUUGCAUUUGAAACUGCGUGACUAGAGUAUGGUAGAGGAAGAUGGAAUUCCACGUGUAGCGGUGAAAUGCGUAGAUAUGUGGAGGAACACCAAUGGCGAAGGCAGUCUUCUGGGCCAAUACUGACGCUGAGGCACGAAAGCGUGGGGAGCAAACAGG
rnacentral:rRNA from 1 species